rnacentral:rRNA from 1 species
UACGUAGGGACCGAGCGUUGUCCGGAUUCAUUGGGCGUAAAGAGCUCGUAGGCGGCUGUUCAAGUCGAACGUGAAAACUCGGAGCUCAACUCCGAGCCUGCGUUCGAUACUGGACGGCUAGAGUCUGGUAGGGGGAUCUGGAAUUCCCAGUGUAGAGGUGAAAUUCGUAGAUAUUGGGAAGAACACCGGUGGCGAAGGCGGCUCUCUGGACCGAGACUGACGCUGAGGCGCGAAAGCGUGGGGAGCAAACAGG